rnacentral:rRNA from 1 species
GACGAACCUUGCUAACGUUAUUCGGAAUUACUGGGCUUAAAGGGUGCGUAGGCGGUGCAGAAAGUUGGGUGUGAAAGCCCUCGGCUCAACCGAGGAAUUGCGCCCAAAACUGCUGCACUAGAGGAAGACAGAGGUACGCGGAACUUACGGUGGAGCGGUGAAAUGCGUUGAUAUCGGAAGGAACUCCGGUGGCGAAAGCGGCGUGCUGGAUCUCUUCUGACGCUGAGGCGCGAAAGCUAGGGGAGCAAACGGG